UGCCAGCAGCCGCGGUAAUACGGAGGGGGUUAGCGUUGUUCGGAAUUACUGGGCGUAAAGAGUGCGUAGGCGGCCGCGUAAGUUGGAUGUGAAAGCCCUGGGCUUAACCUGGGAACUGCAUUCAAAACUGCGUGGCUAGAGUAGAAUAGAGGGAAGUGGAAUUUCCGGUGUAGCGGUGAAAUGCGUAGAUAUCGGAAGGAACACCAGUGGCGAAGGCGGCUUCCUGGAUUCAUACUGACGCUGAGGUGCGAAAGUGUGGGGAGCAAACAGGAUUAGAUA
rnacentral:rRNA from 1 species